UUUAUCAGUGUUUAAAAUAACUUUCUUCGAUUGUUUAGAAUUUAGAUCUGUCGCUCAAAUUCAUUGAAUUUUCUAAUUCUUGGAUGAUUUGAUUAUGAUACACGUGGAAAUGAGUUGAUUGAAGAGACAAAACUCCCGAGCCCGGAGUUGGGAUUUUGGCCAAUAGUGAACUUAAUUAGUUGAAUAGGCCACCCAUAUUCAAAGUGAGUUGCACGACCACCACCCAAUUUUUGCUCUUGCCAAACACACGAAAUAUGUAGACGGGUAGGUCGGAAUGUCCGCUGAAGAUCGACAGAUACACACAAAAAGUCACCUCCCAAUUCCCAAAACCUCAACCUCCAAUAUGUCUUUAUUCAUAGUCCAAUUUUCAUCUCCUCCUCCUUGCUCUCCUUCCUCCCCAAGAAAUCAUGUCUCUUAGCCCAUUGAUGUUCAGGUCACUGGUGAGGCUACUAACAUCACUGGUUCGUGAUCCGGCUGCUUCAAUCUCAACCCUGCUCUUCUACAGUGAGCUUCUACCUCAGAAUAUCGUGCUAGAAAGAUUAGUUCGACAUGAAUUGCUUGACCAAGAAAACUAUUUGUUCCACUUCCUGGUCAACUUUUUGAGAUGUUUUUGGUAAGAAUUAGCCAUAUAUGACUCGUUAUUCCAAUACAGGAGCCGGCAUUUUUAUUGUAAUGGCAUACCAUUAGUUAGUUCUGAGUGCUUGGGAUUGAAAUAACUCUGUACUGCUACUGACUUCAAAUCAUAAUGAGAAAUUUAUUUUCACUCUUGUAA